rnacentral:lncRNA from 1 species
AUCCCCAUCCCAUCCCAUCCCAUCCCCAUCCCCAUCCCAUCCCCAUCCCAUCCCCAUCCCAUCCCAUCCCAUCCCAUCCCCAUCCCAUCCCCAUCCCAUCCCCAUCCCAUCCCAUCCCCAUCCCAUCCCCAUCCCAUCCCCAUCCCAUCCCCAUCCCAUCCCAUCCCAUCCCAUCCCCAUCCCCAUCCCAUCCCCAUCCCAUUCCCAUCCCAUCCUUACUGGUAUCCCACUGGGAACAGUCUCCCGUCUCUCUCCGACAGCUCCGUCAGUGCCCCCAGGCUGUCAAUGCGGAUGGAGCCUAUCAUGAGGUGCACGGCCUCAGGCUCCAGCCCCCCCAGGAACUUCCUCUUGAGGCUCAAGCCCCCGAAGUCCACCAGGACCCUGCGAAGGACAGCGAAGCCUCCGUCCUGCACCAGCUCCUGCAGGGACAUAGAGACACAUUGGGAACCAUAGAGAGACAUUGGGAACCAUAGAGACCCAUAGAGACCCAUAGAGACACAGUGAGAGACAUAGAGAGACAUAGAGAGACAUAGAGACACAUAGAGACACAUAGAGACCCAUAGAGACACAGUGAGAGACAUAGAGAGACAUAGAGACACAUAGAGACACAUAGAGACACAUAGAGACACAGUGAGACACAUAGAGACACAUAGAGACACAUAGGGACACAGUGAGACACAGUGAGACACAGUGAGACACAGUGAGACACAUAGAGACACAUAGAGACCAUAGAGACGCAUAGAGACACAUAGAGACACAUAGAGACACAUAGAGACACAUAGAGACCCAUAGAGACGCAUAGAGACGCAUAGAGACGCAUAGAGACGCAUAGAGACGCAUAGAGACGCAUAGAGACCAUAGAGACACAUAGAGACACAUAGAGACACAUAGAGACCAUAGAGACCAUAGAGACACAUAGAGACACAUAGAGACCAUAGAGACACAUAGAGACACAUUGGGAACCAUAGAGACACAUUGGGAACCAUAGAGACCCAUAGAGACACAGUGAGAGACAUAGAGACACAUAGAGACACAUAGAGACACAUAGAGACACAUAGAGACACAUAGAGACACAUAGAGACCAUAGAGACCAUAGAGACACAGAGACACAUAGAGACCCAUAGAGCAGAAGGAGCAUGGCACUAUACUGCCCCCUGGUGGACGCACAGCAACGCGCUGCCUGGAGCCUGCUGGAACCCCCAUAGAAACCCCAUAGAGACACAUAGACACCCCACAGACCCCAUAGACACCCCAUAGCCCCCAUAGACACCCCAUAGACCCCAUAGACACCCCACAGACCCCAUAGACACUCACAGAGCCGUCCCGCAGGCGCGCGUGCCGCUGGCAGAACACCCUCUUGUCCCUCUGGAAUGCUGCUCGUCACCCCCAUAGACACCCCAUAGACCCCAUAGACACCCCAUAGACCCCAUAGACACCCCAUAGACACCCCAUAGACCCCAUAGACACCCCAUAGACACCCCAUAGCUCACAGAGCCGUCCCGCAGGCGCGCGUGCCGCUGGCAGAACACCCUCUUGUCCCUCUGGAAUGCUGCUCAUCGCCCCCAUAGACACCCCAUAUCCCCCCAUAGACACCCCAUAGACCCUACAGACACCCCAUAGACACCCCAUAUCCCCCCAUAGACACCCCAUAGACCCCAUAGACACUCACAGAGCCGUCCCGCAGGCGCGCGUGCCGCUGGCAGAACACCCUCUUGUCCCUCUGGAAUGCUGCUCGUCGCCCCCAUAGACACCCCAUAUCCCCCCAUAGACACCCCAUAGACCCCAUAGACCCCAUAGACACCCCAUAGACACCCCAUAGACCCCAUAGACACCCCACAGACCCCAUAGACACCCCAUAGACACCCCAUAGACCCCAUAGACACCAUAGACACUCACAGAGCCGUCCCGCAGGCGCGCGUGCCGCUGGCAGAACACCCUCUUGUCCCUCUGGAACGCUGCUCGUCGCCCCCAUAGACACCCCAUAUCCCCCCAUAGACACCCCAUAGACCCCAUAGACACCCCAUAGACACCAUAGACACCCCAUAGACACCCCAUAGACCCCAUAGACACCCCAUAGACACCCCAUAGACACCCCACAGACCCCAUAGACACCCCAUAGCUCACGGAGCCGUCCCGCAGGCGCGCGUGCCGCUGGCAGAACACCCUCUUGUCCCUCUGGAAUGCUGCUCGUCGCCUCCGCGCACACAUGAAGUGGUAGUUGGCCAAACAGGCGGCCAAGCAACAGCCGACGGUGGCCCCAGGGCGGCCACAGUGUUCACAGCGCUGGGGGGGAACAGGGGGGGGCAGUGGUAACCAUGGAGACAGUGGGAGUAACCAUAGGGCAUCAUUGGUAACCAUGGAGACAGUGGUGGUAACCAUGGGGCAUCAUUGGUAACCAUGGAGACAGCAGUAGUAACCAUGGAUACAGGGUUGGUACCCAUAGGGCAUCAUUGGUAACCAUGGAGACAGGAGGGGCAACCAUGGGGCAUCAGUGGUAACCAUGGAUACGGUGGGAGUAACCAUUGAUACAGGAUGGGUACCCAUAGGGACAUCAGUAGUACCCAUGGAUGCAUCACUGGUAACCAUGGAUACAUUGGGGUAACCAUGAGGCAUCAUUGGUAACCAUGGAGACAGCAGU